rnacentral:sRNA from 2 species
ACGCUUCGAGCGCCGUGGGCAGGAGCGGGGGACCCAAGGUAAGUGCCGGGCCCGGCCGUCGAGAGACGGCCAAGUCCGGCUAGGGGUGAAGCCGCGCGCCACCAGCGCGCGGCCGGGCACUCACCAGGCCCGAACCCGACAGCUCACCUCGCAGGCGUCGGUGAGGAGAUCC